UGAAAUGUUAUGUGAACCAUUGUAUAGCUCUUAUGUUCAUCAUUACUUCCCUGUAUAGCUCUUCUGUUUAUCAUUACUUCCAGCUUGGUUGUUAUUUUUUGCAGUACUGGUAGAUCAGAUUGCCAUAGCCCAUAAUAUAAGUUCUAUGUUUGAUUGAUUUCCUCUACCAAUUCUAAAUAUAAUAAUCAAAAUUUGCAUUUGUUUAAUGCAGGAUCUGUUAUCAAAAUCGAGAGUUAGUGGUUCAAGUUUAUUAAAUCAUGUUAAGUGUAGUGUAACUUUGAAAGUGUCUCCACCUUGAACAUUUCAUUUAUUCUUGUUUUCUUUACCAUUAAUAGGUAUUAUUUAUACCUCAAUUCCAAAAUAAUUGAAUUUGACCAAGUUUAUUAGAAGCUAUAUCAACAUCUACACCACAUAAUUAGUUUCAUUAGAUUCAUUGUAAAAUACAUUUUUGUAAAAAAGAGCUCACUUCUCUGUUCUUGAUACUAUAGUAUACCUAUUAUGUCUGUUCUCACACGUAGAUAGGUGUAUUUGUUUACAUAAGAAAAAUGACACGAAGUUAGUUCAUGAUCAUGGCUUAGGGAAAAAAAGGUGUGCACUAUGGUAAAAAGAGGUACAGUUUUGUUGCAAGUAGUUUUCCAGAAACAAUAAUUUAUCUUGUUCCCAUCCCUUUAUUAUUUGUCAACACCCCUCUGAUCUUUGAGAUCAUAAUUUUUCAAAGGUACCUACAGUUGCACAACAAGGUGGAGCUCCUCAGUGCUUUGGCAUGGGUAAGCUCCUAUGCCCUUCAAGAUGAUUUGAACUAUUUGGCAUGAGGUUACUCGUGAUUAGUCGUCGAUGUUGUGUUGCUGCAAUGAAACAAUAUUGUUGAUUAAUGAAAGACAAGCAAUCCUGGCAUAACUCUUAAGUAUAUAGGCCUCACGAGUGAGGUUCAAAUCAUGUGAAAUAAAAAUGAUGGUUCAGAUGAUAAUAACUACUAUUUAUGUUGUUGUAAUCAACUUGCCAUUUUGUAACAGAAGCAUAUUGUUUGUUACAGGUUUACUUGGUGGUCGGAGCCACAAAGGAAGUUGGAGGUGUAGACGUGAACUUGAUGAUUAAGAGAGUCUGUACAAUCUUGUAUAUCUGUAGAUGUAAUCUGGUGUAAUUAUUAUUGAGGGCAUGUGAUCUGAUGUUGGAUGUAUUAUCUGGAUGUAUUAUUGGCCACCUUUUAGAAGGGCUUUACUCAGUGAAAUAUUGAAUGGAAAUUUGUCAAAUGCUUCAAAUUAUGGGCCUGUUCAAUAGAAAUUAAUUGUGUUGUGAAAGCUUGUUUGAUUAC
rnacentral:lncRNA from 1 species